GCGACAUUGUAUUUAUUCAAUAUUUUUGCAACCACUACAUUUUUAUUCUAUUCGAUUACAGUUAAGAAAAGUUCCUGGAUCCCACGUUCCUAUGUCCAUUAUUACUUCAUUUACUGUCCAAAGAAUUCACGGCAUUCCUUCUCACACUUUUCACGGGCGAGGAGGCAUUGCAACUUCUCAGGUAAGCUUUGAGCUGUAAAUACGCAAUCAGGACAAGCAGAAACACAUUCUUGAAAGUCAGCAUUUACGACUACACCAGCAACCAAGACCAGGAGAAGUGUGAAAACUAGAACUUUCAUCAUAUCCUGAAACAUAAAGUAUUUUUAUUAUUUUGAUUCCGUACAAUAAAGUGUUAUAAUUUGACCUAUUUACUAUUUAGUGCCGAAUUGGCUAGACGUGCAUGCCACUUCCACAAAAGCGCAGGGAAUGACUAAACGAAGCAAAGUUAUCACAGACUGAGUUAUAUCAUCGGGUGAAUAGGGGUAUACAAAUCCGCCGAUCCGCCCAAAUUUGAAACAAAAUCCGCUUCGCGCCACUUUGAGCUACGCCACUUCUUCCAACGACCGUACUCCAAGGGUUUUUUCAAUUGACCCGAGAGAGGGUUAAAUUUGACACAACUCUCUUCCGUCAAAAUGUAAAUAAAUAUGCAUCUGUGAUGUAAAUUUAGUAAAUAAACCAAAGUAGUGCAUCGAAUGCCGCAUAGUUUUGAGAAGCCAUUGGGCCCCAAAUGCCUAUAUUUUCGUCUUGUUGUCAAAAUAAGUUAGUAUCGAGUAAUAUAUUGCAUCUAAAGUUCUUGUUUCUUCAAUAUCUCAG